AGCGAACGCUGGCGGCAGGCCUAAACAUGCAAGUCGAGCGCCACCUUCGGGUGAGCGGCGGACGGGUGAGUAACGCGUGGGAACGUGCCCUUUGGUACGGGAUAACUGAGGGAAACUUCAGCUAAUACCGUAUGUGCCCUACGGGGGAAAGAUUUAUCGCCAUUGGAGCGGCCCGCGUUGGAUUAGGUAGUUGGUGGGGUAAAGGCCCACCAAGCCGACGAUCCAUAGCUGGUCUGAGAGGAUGAUCAGCCACACUGGGACUGAGACACGGCCCAGACUCCUACGGGAGGCAGCAGUAGGGAAUCUUGCGCAAUGGGCGAGAGCCUGACGCAGCCAUGCCGCGUGAAUGAUGAAGGUCUUAGGAUUGUAAAAUUCUUUCACCGGGGAAGAUAAUGACGGUACCCGGAGAAGAAGCCCCGGCUAACUUCGUGCCAGCAGCCGCGGUAAUACGAAGGGGGCUAGCGUUGCUCGGAAUUACUGGGCGUAAAGGGCGCGUAGGCGGAUGUUUAAGUCGGGGGUGAAAGCCCGGGGCUCAACCUCGGAAUUGCCUUCGAUACUGGACAUCUUGAGUACGGGAGAGGUGAGUGGAACUCCGAGUGUAGAGGUGAAAUUCGUAGAUAUUCGGAAGAACACCAGUGGCGAAGGCGACUCACUGGCCCGUUACUGACGCUGAGG
rnacentral:rRNA from 1 species